CCUACGGGAGGCAGCCGUGAGGAAUAUUGGUCAAUGGGCGCGCGCCUGAACCAGCCAAGUAGCGUGAAGGAUGACUGCCCUACGGGUUGUAAACUUCUUUUAUAAAGGAAUAAAGUGAGGCACGUGUGCCUUUUUGUAUGUACUUUAUGAAUAAGGAUCGGCUAACUCCGUGCCCGCAGCCGCGGUAAUACGGAGGAUCCGAGCGUUAUCCGGAUUUAUUGGGUUUAAAUGGAGAGUAGAUGGGUUGUUAAGUCAGUUGUGAAAGUUUGCGGCUCAACCGUAAAAUUGCAAUUGAUACUGGCAGCCUUGAGUACAGAUGAGGCAGGCGGAAUUCGUGGUGUAGCGGUGAAAUGCAUAGAUAGCACGAAGAACUCCGAUUGCGAAGGCAGCCUACUAAACUGCCACUGACAUUGAUGCUCGAAAGUGGGGGUAUCAAACAGGAUUAGAUACCCCUGUAGUC
rnacentral:rRNA from 1 species